AAUGAAUAAUUAUUUAUAAGUGCUCGAAACGAAAUUGUGGAGAGAUAAUAGGGAAUCCGGUGUAAAUCCGGAGCAGCCCCCGCUACUGUAAAAGCAUGUUCUUUAAACUUGCUUAAGCCAGGAAACCUGCUUAUAAAUAGAUACGUCU
rnacentral:ncRNA from 1 species